rnacentral:rRNA from 1 species
ACUCCUACGGGAGGCAGCAGUGGGGAAUAUUGCACAAUGGGCGCAAGCCUGAUGCAGCCAUGCCGCGUGUAUGAAGAAGGCCUUCGGGUUGUAAAGUACUUUCAGCAGUGAGGAAGGUGGGUAUGUUAAUAGCAUAUUCAUUUGACGUAGCUGCAGAAGAAGCACCCGGGCUAACUCCGUGCCAGCAGCCGGCGGUAAUAC